CGCCCGCGUGCCGCGACCCGAGCCCACGGCCGGCUGGCGGCUCUGAGGCGGCCCCGGGGCGGCGGGCAGCGGGGCCCUGGGCGCGUCGACGCCCGGCGCUAAGUUCAGGGAGGACCGCGGCGCUGGACCCGGCCCCGGGAGAGGACGCCUCCCCGCCCCCCCCCAGCUCUGGGCCCCAGAGGGGAUCGGUUCCCUGAGCCCUGCUGCCCGGGCCCCUGUCCCCACGCGCCUGUCAUCGUUCUCAGGGGGGAACGGCAGGCUCCUCAGGUGCUGACGGGCGCCGCGCGUCUGCGUUCAGCGCUCCUGCUCCUUCCGUGCCGGAGCCCGGUGUGCCCUGCGAUCGGAUAACUGCGUGCUGAGAUGACGCCUCCCCCUGAGCGCGACGUCUGGCGGGACGGCCGACGGCUGGGGCCCCAAUAGUACCGGAGACGCAGAGGGGCCGUGUGCGGCAGACGGAGCGCGAGGCGGACAGCCUUCUUUUGUUGAGCUGACUCAGACCUGCCUGAGCGUCUUGCUAAGGUACCGAAAGGAGAGAAGGGUUACAGAAUAAAUGCCAUAUGAAAAACAGUUUCAUCUGUCAUGGAAAAACGAGAGACGUUUGUACAAGCGGUGUCUAAGGAGCUGAUUGGAGAAUUUUUGCAGUUUGUUCAACUUGAUAAAGAUGCUUCUGACCCUUUCAGCCUAAAUGAACUACUAGAUGAAUUAUCAAGGAAACAGAAAGAGGAGCUAUGGCAAAGGCUCAGGAGUUUAUUGACAGAUGUGUUGUUAGAAAGCCCAGUGGCUGGGUGGCAGAUGGUGGAAGUCCAGGAUGAAGAUGAUAUGGAAACAGAGCAUGAUUCAAAAAUGAAAAAAAACAUAGAAAUAAUUCAUGCAAUUACAUCUGUGGUUCUUGCUUCUGUAUCUGUAAUAAAUGAAAGUGAGAAUUAUGAAGACUUACUGGAAUGUGCAGUUAUGUUGAAUGGUAUUUUAUAUGCAUUACCUGAAUCUGAAAGAAAGCUGCAGAGUUCCAUUCAGGAUUUAUGUGUCAUAUGGUGGGAGAAAGGCCUGCCUGCCAAGGAAGAUAUGGGAAAGACUGCUUUUAUCAUGCUAUUAAGGAAGAGUCUAGAGACUAAAACAGGUGCAGACAUAUGUCGGCUUUGGCGUAUUCAUCAAGCUUUAUAUUGCUUUGAUUAUGAUUUAGAGGAAAGUAAAGAAAUCAAAGAUAUGCUACUUGAGUGUUUCAUAAGUGUUAAAUAUAUCAAGAAAGAAGAGGGAAGAAGAUUUCUUAGUUCUCUCUUCAAUUGGAAUGUAAAUUUUAUUAAAAUGAUCCACGAGACCAUUAAAAACCAGCUACAGGGGUUACAAAAAUCUUUGAUGGUACACGUUGCAGAAAUUUAUUUCAGAGCUUGGAAAAAGGCCUCAGGGAAAAUAUUGGAGACGAUCGAAAACGGGUGCAUCCAGGACUUCAUGCACCACGGCAUCCACCUUCCGCGCAGGUCUCCAGUGCACUCCAGGGUGCGCGAGGUGCUGUGUUAUUUUCAUCAUCAAAAAAAAGUUCGUCAGGGAGUGGAAGAGAUGCUUUACAGAUUAUAUAAACCCAUCCUUUGGAGAGGACUAAAGGCCCGAAACUCUGAAGUCCGGUCAAAUGCUGCCCUUUUGUUCAUUGAAGCAUUUCCUAUUAGGGAUCCAAAUUUCAAUGCUAUUGAAAUGGAUAGUGAAAUUCAGAAACAGUUUGAAGAACUCUACAGCCUUUUAGAAGACCCUUAUCCAAUGGUCCGUUCUACAGGGAUCCUUGGUGUUUGUAAAAUAACUUCCAAAUACUGGGAAAUGAUGCCUCCAACCAUUCUUAUUGAUCUCCUCAAAAAAGUAACCGGGGAACUGGCAUUUGACACAAGCUCAGCUGAUGUGCGCUGUUCUGUCUUUAAGUGUCUGCCGAUAAUUUUGGAUAACAAAUUAAGCCACCCAUUAUUAGAACAGCUUCUGCCAGCUCUGAAAUACAGUCUCCAUGACAAUUCAGAGAAAGUGAGAGUGGCUUUUGUUGAUAUGCUGCUGAAAGUCAAAGCCGUGCGGGCUGCUAAGUUUUGGAAAAUUUGCCCCAUGGAGCAUAUUUUGGUUCGUCUGGAAUCAGAUUCCCGGCCUGUGUCUCGGCGCCUGGUGAACCUCAUCUUCAACUCUUUCCUGCCGGUGAACCAGCCCGAGGAGGUGUGGUGUGAGCGCUGUGUCACGCUGGUCCAGAUGAACCAUGCAGCUGCCAGGAAGUUCUAUCAGCAUGCCCACGAGCACACCGCCUGCACUAAUAUAGCAAAGCUAAUUCACGUGAUUCGCCAUUGCUUGAAUGCCUGCAUCCGGAGGGCCGUGCGUGAGUGCCACGAGGACCAUGAGGAGAGGGAGAAGGAGAACGUUCUGGACAAAACAUUGUCUGUAAGCGAUGUUGCAUCCAUGGCCGGUUUGUUAGAAAUUGUUGUGAUUCUUUGGAAAAGUAUUCACAGAAGUAUGGAAAAUAAUAAGGAAGCCAGAGUUUACACCAUUAACAAGUUUGCUUCUGUGCUCCCUGAGUACCUGAAAGUCUUCACGGAUGAUCGCUGCAAGAUCCCUUUAUUUAUGCUCAUGUCCUUUAUGCCAGCCUCUGCUGUGCCUACAUUCAGCUGCGGUGUGAUUUCCACAUUAAGAAACCAAGAGGAGGGAGCAGCAGACAAGCGUUAUUGUACUCUGUUGGACUGUCUCUGCUCCUGGGGACAAGUGGGACACAUUCUGGAACUCAUCUGUGACUGGCUGCCAGAAGAUCAGCCCCAGAGCAAGAGUAACUCAGCAUCUAAACGGAAGGUGCAGAUCCAUGACACACGCCCAGUAAAACCUGAAUUGGCCCUGGUUUACAUAGAGUAUUUGCUGACCCACCCAAAGAAUCGACAGUGCCUGCUCUCUGCUCCCCAGAAGAAACUUAACCACCUUUUGAAAGCACUUGAAAUGUCAAAGGCGGAUCUGGAAUCAAUUUUGCAGCUGCCAGGUGGGAAACCUCACAACUUUAAUGAGGCGAUGGCCCUGCGAGCCUUCAGCCUCCACUGCCGGCUGAGUAUCCAUCUUCAGCACCAGUUCUGCUCAGAAGGGAAAGUUUACCUGUCCAUUUUGGAAGACACUGGGUUUUGGUUAGAAAACAAAGUUCUGUCUUUUAUCCAAGAUCAAGAAGAAGAAUAUCUGAAGCUUCAUAGGGUUGUUUAUCAGCAAAUCAUCCAGACCUACCUGACGGUAUGUAAGGAUGUUGUGAUGGUUGGCCUUGGUGAUUUUAAGUUUCAGAUACAACUUUUACAGUGGAGUCUCCGAAUCAUGCAAACAGUGAAGGGCUUCUUUUAUGUGUCAUUACUUCUUGGCAUUCUGAAAGAGGUAACUGGAAGUUCCUUGAUGCAGAAACCAGACUCGGACGAAGAAGUUGCAACACUGUCUGAUAUGGUCCAGAAAGUAUUUCAGAAACUGUUGGAAUGUAUGGCACGGAGCUUCAGGAAGCAACCAGAAGAAGGCCUACGGCUUCUUUAUUCGGUUCAGAGUUCUCUUCAUGAAUUUUUAAUGACUGUUCAGUCUUGGCACGUGGACACGCCCGUCCACCGGGGGGUGCUCUCAACUGUGAUUGCUGCAUCUGUGGUGGAGAUAAGUCACCAGCUACGAAAGGUCUCUAAUGUAGAGGAGCUCACCACCCCCGAGGUUCUUUCAGACCUCCCACCAUUUUCAAGGUGUUUAAUAGGAAUAAUAAUGAAGUCUCUGGAUGUGAUCAGGUCAUUUUUAGAUGAAUUAAAGGCGUGUGUUACUUCUGAUGAUGUUGAAGGCAUUGUGUGUCUCACAGCUGUUAUGCAUAUUAUUUUGGUUAUUAAUAAAGGUAAACAGAGGAGUUCAAAAGUGAAGGAUGUUGCAGCCACUGUUCACAGAAAACUAAAGACAUUCAUGGAGAUCACUCUGGAUGAGGACAGCACGGAGAGACACUUACAGGGAAGAGGGAAAUGAUCUUCUGAGUUGGAGGAAAUGAGGAGUGUUUGUAUUUCAGAAAACACAUGGCAGUGUAAAUAUUUUUACCAGGCACAUCAACAUUACAACCUGUAUAAAUGGUUUCUCUAUGAAUCAUCAUCAAGAACUCUGGGAGCACUUCUGAAUUCAUAACCAAGCCAACAUCUUUGGUCAUGUGAAAAUGGAGAAAAAGGACUUAGCGAAAGUGAAAUGAAUAUGUAUUUUCCUAGUGUUUUUAAUGUUAAUAACCCAUAUCAUAAGGGGUGGGAUUUAUUUAGGGAGUUAUAAGUAGGAAACUCAAAGGUUCUUAAGCUUUUGCCUGGUGCCUGCAUAAAUAAUAUAUUUAAUAUAAAGGACUCUAGGUAUCAGUGGAGCAGAGCAGAAACCUGUGGUGCAAAGGGGAAAAAAAGACUUUUCUAGCAAACAUGGUUGUUUUAAAAAUGAUUUAUAUAUAUAUAUAUAUAUAUAUAUAUAUAUAAAAUGUUGCUUAAACUGA